AGUGGGCGGGGACGACACCGGGGAGUGUUUGAGCGCGGUGUCUGUGUCAGUGUCCUCGACACAGUCUGCUGGGAGGCAGUGCCUCCGCGGAGAUGGCGGGGGCUGGCGAGUUGCGCCGGUCUCGGUGACCGGAGGGCGGCUGCCUCCCGCGCCCCUCGGGUGCGCGCGCGCGCGCCUGUUCCUCCCCUCAGGAGCUCCGGGGGGGGUCACGAGUCGGCGCGAGGCUCUGCUGAGGGAGGUUGUGUUUGCCGGUUGCAGCCAAGCCGGAAUAACCUCACUGAUUUUUGUUUUCAAACAUUCCGUCUAAGCCUUCGGCGUACAAGGAACUCGAAUGUCUGUACUAUCGUCAGGAUUUAUAACUCCCCCCCCACUUCCCGCCGCGCUCCCCUCAGAAGUUCCCUCUAAGCCUUCAGUGUACAAGGAACCUGAGUAUCUAUACUAUCGCUAGUGUUAAAGCUUCUCGCACUUCCCGCCGCCCCCCUCAGGCGCUUUCAGCCGCAAAGGAAAACUGAAGAGGGUCGUUGAAAGCCUCAGUUCCCAAGGUGUAUUUCUGUGGCGAUUUGAACAAACCCAGCCCUGUAGUGCUUCCGCUUCUUCCCCGUUCAUUUUUCCCAACUCGCGGCCGAGGGAAAGGUGUUUCUAGACCGCAGCAAAAUGCAGAUGACUUGACUGUGAAAAUUUUUGCUGCUUCCCAAAGCAAAAUUUUAUGAGCUCCAGUUUUAUCAGUGCUCCAUGCUCUUCCUUCAGCACAUUAUCUAUCUUAUGUGGAGCUGCAGGUAAAUCAUACUCUAAUGACUUGAGGAAAAAAAAAGAGACAAGUUGUUAUAAAAUGAAAUUACGUGUUCUAUGUUCUCCCAUUUUUGUCAAAACACUUUUCUCUUGUUUAGUGAUGAAUACUGUCAAUAUACUGCAGGAAAAGUAAGUCAUUGAUCAAAUAUUUAGAAACCUGUCAAAAAAGAGAAAAUUAUUCUAUACCUGAGGAUCUGAUAUUUUUCCAAACAUCUUCAUCUUUAUGUAGAUUAUUGCUGUUCAUAACCCAUGGAAAUAAAAUCCUGAGACCACUGAAAUAAAGUUAUAUAUGGGGUUGUUAAUAAGGUACUGGCCUUUAUUUUACUCUCACUGAAAUUCCAGGUCUCUGCUUUAACUGAUGUAAAAGCCGAAAAGGUAAAUCUCAUAACUGAGGACACAGGAAGAAAUGAUAAUUCCGAUGCUGUGCAUUAUAGGCUUGAAUAUUCAGUUGAGAUCAUCUUAAU